UUAAGCGACUAAGCGUACACGGUGGAUGCCCUGGCAGUCAGAGGCGAUGAAGGACGUGCUAAUCUGCGAAAAGCGUCGGUAAGGUGAUAUGAACCGUUACAGCCGGCGAUGUCCGAAUGGGGAAACCCAGUGCAAUUCGUUGCACUAUCGUUAACUGAAUACAUAGGUUAACGAGGCGAACCGGGGGAACUGAAACAUCUAAGUACCCCGAGGAAAAGAAAUCAACCGAGAUUCCCCCAGUAGCGGCGAGCGAACGGGGAGCAGCCCGGAGUCUGAAUCAGCUUGUGUGUUAGUGGAAGCGUCUGGAAAGUCGCAGGGUACAGGGUGAUACUCCCGUACACUAAAACACACAGGUUGUGAACUCGAAGAGUAGGGCGGGACACGUGGUAUCCUGUCUGAAUAUGGGGGGACCAUCCUCCAAGGCUAAAUACUCCUGACUGACCGAUAGUGAACCAGUACCGUGAGGGAAAGGCGAAAAGAACCCCGGCGAGGGGAGUGAAAAAGAACCUGAAACCGUGUACGUACAAGCAGUAGGAGCCCACUAGUUGGGUGACUGCGUACCUUUUGUAUAAUGGGUCAGCGACUUAUAUUCUGUAGCAAGGUUAACCGAAUAGGGGAGCCGCAGGGAAACCGAGUCUUAACUGGGCGUUAAGUUGCAGGGUAUAGACCCGAAACCCGGUGAUCUAGCCAUGGGCAGGUUGAAGGUUGGGUAACACUAACUGGAGGACCGAACCGACUAAUGUUGAAAAAUUAGCGGAUGACUUGUGGCUGGGGGUGAAAGGCCAAUCAAACCGGGAGAUAGCUGGUUCUCCCCGAAAGCUAUUUAGGUAGCGCCUCGUGAACUCAUCUUCGGGGGUAGAGCACUGUUUCGGCUAGGGGGUCAUCCCGACUUACCAACCCGAUGCAAACUACGAAUACCGAAGAAUGUUAUCACGGGAGACACACGGCGGGUGCUAACGUCCGUCGUGAAGAGGGAAACAACCCAGACCGCCAGCUAAGGUCCCAAAGUCAUGGUUAAGUGGGAAACGAUGUGGGAAGGCCCAGACAGCCAGGAUGUUGGCUUAGAAGCAGCCAUCAUUUAAAGAAAGCGUAAUAGCUCACUGGUCGAGUCGGCCUGCGCGGAAGAUGUAACGGGGCUAAACCAUGCACCGAAGCUGCGGCAGCGACGCUUAUGCGUUGUUGGGUAGGGGAGCGUUCUGUAAGCCGUUGAAGGUGGCCUGUGAGGGUUGCUGGAGGUAUCAGAAGUGCGAAUGCUGACAUAAGUAACGAUAAUGCGGGUGAAAAACCCGCACGCCGGAAGACCAAGGGUUCCUGUCCAACGUUAAUCGGGGCAGGGUGAGUCGACCCCUAAGGCGAGGCCGAAAGGCGUAGUCGAUGGGAAACAGGUUAAUAUUCCUGUACUUGGUGUUACUGCGAAGGGGGGACGGAGAAGGCUAUGUUGGCCGGGCGACGGUUGUCCCGGUUUAAGCAUGUAGGCGGAUGUUCCAGGUAAAUCCGGAACGUCACUAACGCUGAGGUGUGAUGACGAGGCACUACGGUGCUGAAGUGACAAAUGCCCUGCUUCCAGGAAAAGCCUCUAAGCAUCAGGUAACAUCAAAUCGUACCCCAAACCGACACAGGUGGUCAGGUAGAGAAUACCAAGGCGCUUGAGAGAACUCGGGUGAAGGAACUAGGCAAAAUGGUGCCGUAACUUCGGGAGAAGGCACGCUGAUGGUAGGUGAAGUGACUUGCUCACGGAGCUGAAAUCAGUCGAAGAUACCAGCUGGCUGCAACUGUUUAUUAAAAACACAGCACUGUGCAAACACGAAAGUGGACGUAUACGGUGUGACGCCUGCCCGGUGCCGGAAGGUUAAUUGAUGGGGUUAUCCUCACGGAGAAGCUCUUGAUCGAAGCCCCGGUAAACGGCGGCCGUAACUAUAACGGUCCUAAGGUAGCGAAAUUCCUUGUCGGGUAAGUUCCGACCUGCACGAAUGGCGUAAUGAUGGCCAGGCUGUCUCCACCCGAGACUCAGUGAAAUUGAACUCGCUGUGAAGAUGCAGUGUACCCGCGGCAAGACGGAAAGACCCCGUGAACCUUUACUAUAGCUUGACACUGAACACUGGUCCUUGAUGUGUAGGAUAGGUGGGAGGCUUUGAAGUGUGGACGCCAGUCUGCAUGGAGCCAUCCUUGAAAUACCACCCUUUAAUGGCUGGUGUUCUAACGUGGGCCCGUGAUCCGGGUUGCGGACAGUGUCUGGUGGGUAGUUUGACUGGGGCGGUCUCCUCCUAAAGAGUAACGGAGGAGCACGAAGGUCAGCUAAUCCUGGUCGGACAUCAGGAGGUUAGUGCAAUGGCAUAAGCUGGCUUGACUGCGAGCGUGACGGCGCGAGCAGGUGCGAAAGCAGGUCAUAGUGAUCCGGUGGUUCUGAAUGGAAGGGCCAUCGCUCAACGGAUAAAAGGUACUCCGGGGAUAACAGGCUGAUACCGCCCAAGAGUUCAUAUCGACGGCGGUGUUUGGCACCUCGAUGUCGGCUCAUCACAUCCUGGGGCUGAAGUAGGUCCCAAGGGUAUGGCUGUUCGCCAUUUAAAGUGGUACGCGAGCUGGGUUUAGAACGUCGUGAGACAGUUCGGUCCCUAUCUGCCGUGGGCGCUGGAGAAUUGAGGGGGGCUGCUCCUAGUACGAGAGGACCGGAGUGGACGCAUCACUGGUGUUCGGGUUGUCAUGCCAAUGGCAUUGCCCGGUAGCUAAAUGCGGAAGAGAUAAGUGCUGAAAGCAUCUAAGCACGAAACUUGCCCCGAGAUGAGUUCUCCCUGACCCUUUAAGGGUCCUGAAGGAACGUUGAAGACGACGACGUUGAUAGGCCGGGUGUGUAAGCGCAGCGAUGCGUUGAGCUAACCGGUACUAAUGAACCGUGAGGCUUAACCUU
rnacentral:rRNA from 1 species